CCUACGGGUGGCAGCAGUGAGGAAUAUUGGUCAAUGGGCGGAAGCCUGAACCAGCCAAGUAGCGUGCAGGAUGACGGCCCUACGGGUUGUAAACUGCUUUUAUACGGGAAUAACGCGCCUUACGUGUAGGGCUUUGCAUGUACCGUAUGAAUAAGGAUCGGCUAAUUCCGUGCCAGCAGCCGCGGUAAUACGGAGGGUCCGGGCGUUAUCCGGAUUUAUUGGGUUUAAAGGGUGCGUAGGCGGCAUGUCAAGCGUGCUGUGAAAUGUCCGGGCUCAACCCGGGCCUUGCAGCGCGAACUGGCGUGCGUGAGUCCGCUGAAGGCAGGCGGAAUUCGUGGUGUAGCGGUGAAAUGCUUAGAUAUGACGAAGAACCCCGAUUGCGAAGGCAGCUUGCUGCGGCGUAACUGACGCUGAUGCUCGAAAGCGCGGGUAUCGAACAGGAUUAGAUACCCCUGUAGUC
rnacentral:rRNA from 1 species